GGUUUUUGAUUAUAAUAUAAAAUUUGACCUGCCCACUGAAAGUUUAAAGGGCCGCGGUAUUUUGACCGUGCAAAGGUAGCAUAAUCAUUAGUUUUUUAAUUGAAAGCUGGAAUGAAUGGUUGGACGAGAAAAUAUCUGUCUCUGAUUAAUUUAAGUAAAAUUUAAUUUUUAAGUAAAAAAGCUUAAAUGAUGUUAAAAGACGAGAAGACCCUAUAGAGUUUUAUAUUUUUAUAGAAAGUUAUAUUUAAGAAUGAAUUUUUAAUUUUUGAAUAAAGUAUUUUAUUGGGGUGAUAGGAAGAUUUAAUAAACUCUUUUUUUUUGUUAACAUUUAUUUAUGAGUAAUUGAUCCAAUUUUUUUGAUUAUAAGAUUAAAUUACCUUAGGGAUAACAGCGUAAUUUUUUUUGAGAGUUCUUAUCGAAAUAAAAGAUUGCGACCUCGAUGUUGGAUUAAAGUUGAUUUUUGGUGUAGUUGCUGAAAUAUUAAGUCUGUUCGACUUUUGAAACUUUACAUGAUCUGAGUUUAAACCGGUGUGAGCCAGGUUGGUUUCUAUCUUUAAUUUAUGAAAAUGUUUUAGUACGAAAGGACCAAAUAUUUAAUAUAUUUAUUUUUUUUUGAAUUUUAUUGUUACUUUGGCAGACUAGUGCAAUGGAUUUAGAAUCUUUUUAUGUAAAAUUUUACAUGUAAUAUUUGUAUUUUUUUGAUUUUUUUUUAUUAUUUAUUAAUAUACUAAUUUUAAUUAUCUUUGUUUUAGUAGGAGUAGCUUUUUUUACAUUGUUAGAACGAAAAAUUUUAGGAUAUAUUCAAAUUCGUAAAGGG
rnacentral:rRNA from 1 species